ensembl:lncRNA
CUUUGUACGUUUAUUAUAUAUUAAUUUUGCCAGCACGCUAAGUAGUAUUGUCUUUGUUGUAAACUCCAAAAAGUACCUUUUUUUCAUACAUAUUUUGCGUACAACACGUGAGCGUUGUCCGUGGGCGCACGUGGAGUGUGGUCGGCACGUGCUGGUGGUUCCGGCGGAAGGGCUCAUUAGGAAGCGUAGGAGACGAUGAGCAACGCCUGUCCUCAGUCUCUGGGUCGCCCCAGCGGGACCAACUGCACCACCCCCGCUGGUUUCACCCCUCAGGUAGGAGGGAGGGGCAACGUGAACUCCCAUAGAAGUCGGGAGCCCUGGGACAGCUGCCCCCUGGUGGCACGAGGGGAUGAACCGGCCAGCAACGCAGCGAUAAACAGUCACUCCGAUAAUGACCGAUACUGCG